rnacentral:lncRNA from 1 species
GGAAAAUGGCCUUCAUUUUCGGGGUUUCUACUUUUCUAACCUUGUCUGGGGAAUUUAAAGCCCUUGCACAAAACUCACCCUUAGGAAUGUCACAGUGACGUAACUGGAAUAUAAAAUAAACUAACUUCAUCCUGAUUAAGAAACCCAUACUCCUAUAUUCUCAGAUUCCUGAAAGGCUUGCCCCUGCCAAUGAGGCAUUUUGGUAUUCUCAGCAUUCAGCUAUACCCAUUCUGGAAGUUCCUAUCCCCAGUCCUGCAAAUUAUAUAAGCCUCCAAUCACCAAAAAGGUGUUCAGACUCCCUGCCGCUGGUACUGGAUUGAUCAUUCAUGGUCCAUUUGCACUGGGCUUGUGAACCUCAAGUUUGCUGUGUGCUCCAAUUGACCUGAUGAACCAAUAUCGCCUUAUGAUCCUUGAGGGCAUGGAGACAUAUACUCAAAAUUCUAUACCUAGGUUAUCUUAGUUUGUUACAACUUAUUAUAUACUUAAUUCAUACCUUGUUUAAAAGGGGUGUGUGUAAAUAUGUACAGUUACAUUCUUUUCAUUUUUUUACCUUGUUCUCAUCUCCCACUUUAUAUCUGGACCACAGUACACAUCCCUCCACUUCUCUAUAGCCCUCCCAAACUAACAUCACACCCAUAUAUUCUACCAUUUCCCCUGAAAAAAGAGCAGCAUACUUGGGGAUAUCAAAUGAACAAGGCAUACCAUAUUUUAAUAAAAAUAGGCACAAACCCUCAUAUGAAACCUAGCAAAGAAAAUAAUUAAGACAAGAACCAUCUCGAAAGAAGGCAAAAGAAUCAGAAAAACCCACCCACUAUAUUCCCACAAACUAUGUUGCAUCCCUUAGGAGGUGACUGCUAACAAAUGGCUUUAUUAGAUUUUUUCUCUAGUAUGUAUUCUUUUAUGAUUUCGAAGAGUACUGUGACCUGCAAUGACUUUGCCACAUUAAUUACAUUCAUACGGUUUUUCUCCACUAUGUGUUCUUUUAUGGAUUUGAAGAGUACUGUGACGUUUAAAGGUUUUGCCACAUUAGUUACAUUCAUAGGGUUUCUCUUCAGUAUGUGUUAUUUCAUGACAUUGAAGAUGAACAAAUUGUGUAAAGGCUCUGCCACACUGGUUACAUUCAUAGGGUUUCUCUCCAGUAUGUGUUCUUAUAUGCAUUUGAAGAUAUCUGUGACAUGCAAAGGCCUUGCCACAUUGAUUACAUUCAUAAGGUUUCUCUCCAGUAUGUGUUCUUUUAUGGACUUGAAGAGUUCUGUGAUAUGCAAAGGCUUUGCCACAUUGUUUACAUUCAUAGGGUUUCUCUCCAGUAUGUGUUCUUUUAUGGAUUUGAAGGUAUCUGCGACAUGCAAAGGCUUUGCCACAUUGAUUACAUUCAUAGGGUUUUUCUCCGGUAUGUGUUCUUUUAUGGAUUUGAAAAGAUUUGUAACAUGCAAAGGCUUUGCCACAUUGUUUACAUUCAUAGGGUUUCUCUCCAGUAUGUCUCCUUUCAUGGAUUUUAAGAUAACUGUGACAUGUAAAUGCUUUACCACAUUGUUUACAUUCAUAGAGUUUCUCUCCAGUAUGUGUUCUUUUAUGUCUUUGAAGAUUGCUGUGACCUGCAAAGGCUUUGCCACAUUGAUUACAUUCAUAGGGUUUCUCUCCAGUGUGUGUUCUUUUAUGGAUUUGAAGACUACUGUGACAUGUAAAAGCUUUACCACAUUGUUUACAUUCAUAGAGUUUCUCUCCAGUAUGUGUUCUUUUAUGUCUUUGAAGAUUGCUGUGUCGUGUAUAUGCUUUGCCACAUUGUUUACAUUCAUAGGGUUUCUCUCCAGUAUGUGUUCUUUUAUGGAUUUGAAGAUUGCUGUGACCUGCAAAGGUUUUCCCACAUUGAUUACAUUCAUAGGGUUUUUCUCCAGUAUAUGUUCCUUUACGGAUUUCAAAAUGGGUGUGACAUGAAAAGGUUUUACCACAUUGGUUACCAUCAUAGACUUUUUCUUCAGUGUGUUCUCUUCCAUGUAUUUGAUGAUCAGUAUAAGACAUGAAAGAUCCAGUGCUCUUAUAUAACUGAUGAUGAUGGUUUCUUGCAAAGGCUCCAUCAUAUUGAAUACAUUCAAAGGGUUUCUCUCCAGUAUUACUUGGUCCAUCCCUUUGAAGAUGCCUG